UAGGGAAUCUUCCGCAAUGGACGAAAGUCUGACGGAGCAACGCAGCGUGAGUGAAGAAGGAUUUCGGUUCGUAAAACUCUGUCGUUAGGGAAGAAAAAAUGUAUAGUAACUAUAUACAAAAGAGACGGUACCUAACCAGAAAGCCACGGCUAACUACGUGCCAGCAGCCGCGGUAAUACGUAGGUGGCAAGCGUUGUCCGGAAUUAUUGGGCGUAAAGCGCGCGCAGGUGGUUUAGAAAGUCUGAUGUGAAAGCCCACGGCUCAACCGUGGAGGGUCAUUGGAAACUAAUAAACUUGAGUGCAGGAGAGAAAAGUGGAAUUCCUAGUGUAGCGGUGAAAUGCGUAGAGAUUAGGAGGAACACCGGUGGCGAAAGCGGCUUUUUGGCCUGCAACUGACACUGAGGCGCGAAAGCGUGGGUAGCAAACAGG
rnacentral:rRNA from 1 species